CAAGGAACUAAGAGUUUAUGGGGGAUACCUUGGCAUUCAGAAGCGAUGAAGGACGUGGUUACCGACGAUAUGCUUCGGGGAGCUGGAAACAAGCUAUGAUCCGGAGGUUUCCGAAUGAGGCAACUUUUUAACUACUUAUUGAAUUCAUAGAUAAGAAAGAGCAAACCUAGAGAAUUGAAACAUCUUAGUACCUAGAGGAAAAGAAAGUAAAAACGAUUCCCUGAGUAGCGGCGAGCGAAACGGGAUUAGCCUAAACUUAAUUAUAAAUUAAGGGUAGUGGGACAAUAAUAAAGAAUUUAAUGGAACGAUUAGAGGAAUAAGUUUGGAAUACUUAACCAUAGAGAGUGAUAGUCUCGUACUCGAAAAUUGAACCAAUUCAAUUGUAUCCCAAGUAGCAUGGAGCACGUGAAAUUCCGUGUGAAUCUGCGAGGACCACCUCGUAAGGCUAAAUAUUCCUGAAUGACCGAUAGUGAAACAGUACCGUGAGGGAAAGGUGAAAAGAACCCCGGGAGGGGAGUGAAAAGAACAUGAAACCAUAAACUUACAAGCAGUAGGAGGACGACUUAACGUCUGACUGCGUGCCUGUUGAAGAAUGAGCCGGCGACUUAUAGUUAGUGGCAGGUUAAAGUAGUGAAUACUGAAGCCAUAGUGAAAGCGAGCCUGAAUAGGGCGUUUGUCACUAGUUAUAGACCCGAACCCGGAUGAUCUAACCAUGGUCAGGUUGAAGCUCAGGUAAUACUGAGUGGAGGACCGAACCGACUGAUGUUGAAAAAUCAGCGGAUGAAUUGUGGUUAGGGGUGAAAUGCCAAUCGAAUUCGGAGCUAGCUGGUUCUCCCCGAAAUGCGUUUUGGCGCAGCGGUAAAUGUUAUAAUCUAGGGGUAAAGCACUGUUACGUAUGCGGGCUGGUAAUUCGGUACCAAAUCGUUGCAAACUAAGAAUACUAGAUGUAUAGUUUACCAGUAAGACUGUGGGGGAUAAGCUCCAUUGUCAAGAGGGAAACAGCCCAGAGCACCAGUUAAGGCCCUUAAAUAAUUACUAAGUGGUAAAGGAGGUGGGAGUGCAUAGACAAUCAGGAGGUUUGCUUAGAAGCAGCAAUCCUUUAAAGAGUGCGUAAUAGCUCACUGAUCGAGUAAACCUGCGCCGAAAAUGUAUGGGACUAAGUAAUUUGCCGAAACUGUGCGAUAUAUAUUUAUAUAUCGGUAGGGGAGCGUUCUGUUGUAGGUCGAAGUAUUAGCGUAAGCGGAUAUGGACGAAGCAGAAGUGAGAAUGUCGGCUUGAGUAACGAAAAUAUAGGUGAGAAUCCUAUACCCCGAAAACCCAAGGUUUCCUCCGGAAGGCUCGUCCGCGGAGGGUAAGUCAGGACCUAAGGCGAGGCUGAAAAGCGUAGUCGAUGGACAACGGGUUAAUAUUCCCGUACCAUUUUUUAUUGAUAUCGAGGGACGGAGAAGGCUAAGCUAGCCGGAUAUUGGUUUUACCGGUUUAAACGUUCGAGAUGUUGAGAAGCGGUGAAAACGCUUUGAGUUGAGACGUGAAUACGAGACACUAAGGUGUUGAAGUAGUGUAUGUCAUACUUCCAAGAAAAGCUUGCACUGUCAUAAAUAAAGAAUGCCUGUACCAUAACCGACACAGGUGGGUAGGUAGAGUAUACUAAGGGGCGCGAGAUAACUCUCUCUAAGGAACUCGGCAAAAUAACUCCGUAACUUCGGGAGAAGGAGUGCCUUAUUUAUAAGGUUGCAAUAACAAGAUCCAAGCAACUGUUUAUCAAAAACACAGGUCUCCGCUAAGUCGUAAGACGAUGUAUGGGGGCUGACGCCUGCCCAGUGCCAGAAGGUUAAAGAAGUUGGUUAGCAAUUGCGAAGCUGGUAACUGAAGCCCUGGUGAACGGCGGCCGUAACAAUAACGGUCCUAAGGUAGCGAAAUUCCUUGUCGGGUAAGUUCCGACCUGCACGAAUGGCGUAACGACUUCCCUGCUGUCUCAACCACAGGCCCGGUGAAAUUGCAGUACGAGUAAAGAUGCUCGUUACGCGCGGCAGGACGAAAAGACCCCGGGACCUUCACUAUAGCUUGGUAUUGGUGUUUGAUUCGGUUUGUGUAGGAUAGGUGGGAGACGUUGAUGCGGCCACGCUAGUGGUGGUGGAGUCGUUGGUGAAAUACCACUCUGAUUGUUCUGGUUAUCUCACUGUGGACCGUGAUCCGGUUCAAGGACAGUGCCUGAUGGGUAGUUUGACUGGGGCGGU
rnacentral:rRNA from 1 species